GGUUAAGCGACUAAGCGUACACGGUGGAUGCCCUGGCAGUCAGAGGCGAUGAAGGACGUGCUAAUCUGCGAUAAGCGUCGGUAAGGUGAUAUGAACCGUUAUA
rnacentral:rRNA from 3 species